rnacentral:rRNA from 1 species
GACUACAGGGGUAUCUAAUCCUGUUCGCUCCCCACGCUUUCGUGCCUCAGCGUCAGUAUCGCCUUAGUAAGCUGCCUUCGCAAUUGGUGUUCUAUGUCAUAUCUAAGCAUUUCACCGCUACACGACAUAUUCCGCCUACUUCAAGCGCACUCAAGAAUACCAGUAUCAAUGGCAAGUCUACAGUUGAGCUGCAGGAUUUCACCACUGACUUAAUGUUCCGCCUACGCACCCUUUAAACCCAAUGAAUCCGGAUAACGCUUGCACCCUUCGUAUUACCGCGGCUGCUGGCACGAAGUUAGCCGGUGCUUAUUCCUCAGGUACCGUCAACCCAGGACACGUCCUGGGGUUUCUUCCCUGGUAAAAGCAGUUUACAACGCGUAGCGCCUUCUUCCUGCACGCGGCAUGGCUGCGUCAGAGUUGCCUCCAUUGCGCAAUAUUCCUCACUGCAGCCCCCCGUAGG